rnacentral:tRNA from 1 species
ACUAUUUUGGCAGAAUAAUGUAAUGAUUUUAGAAUUCAUAGAUAUAUAGGUUAAAUAUAUAUAUAGUA